rnacentral:lncRNA from 1 species
CAAUCUGAUAAACUACCUGCUUCAGAAAGGUAUAACACAAGUUGGAAUAUGAUGAUUCUACAUCUGAGACUUUCACUGGAACCUAUAUAAACAUGCUUGAAUGUCUCCUUGACAACUGAGCAGGCAUGACUCCUUACAUCAACCUUUACCACUACGAUCUACCUCUUGCACUCGAGCAGAAAUAUGGAGGGUGGUUAAGCUCAAAGAUGGCGUAAGUCAAUUUUAAAAUUAAUCAAUGUUUAUACCUUUCAUAUUUAUAUGGAAGUGCUUCUACUUUCUAUGUUUUCCCAAAAGAAGACUACACAACAUAGCAGCACUCAGGUAUAUGUUAGCCUAGCACCCUAGCUAAAUGUGCCCGUGAUGCAUCUCUAAUGUCACAAGUUAUAGAAGGAGAAGUACCGGACUAUAUUUAUGUAUCUAUAUGAUUUGUGUUGCAGGGACCUCUUUACAGAGUAUGUUGACUUCUGUUUUAAGACCUAUGGCGAUCGUGUAAAGCACUGGUUUACAUUCAAUGAGCCAAGGAUAGUAGCACUGCUUGGUUAUGACGCAGGGUCAAAUCCUCCUCAAAGGUGCACCAAAUGUGCUGCCGGUGGCAAUUCAGCAACCGAACCUUAUAUUGUUGCGCAUAAUUUUCUCUUGGCACAUGCUGCUGCAGCUGCAAGAUACCGUACAAAGUACCAGGUAUUCUUUUUCUUCAGAAUUUCCUAGAAUUCCCCUGAAAACAAAACUAUGGUCAAUGUACUUUCAUGUUUUAAACUCUGUUCCUCAUGAAAUGCAUUAACUAACUUUAUUUCCUAAAAUAGUUGGACACAUAGCUAUCGAUUGUCAAUAAGAUCUUCCAUGAAAUUGCUGAUGGAAGAAUGGCAUAAUAUUUUCAAAAUGUAGGCUGCUCAGAAGGGUAAGAUUGGAAUAGUCCUGGACUUCAACUGGUACGAAGCUCUUACAAACUCAACUGACGACCAAGCAGCGGCUCAAAGAGCUAGGGACUUCCAUAUUGGUUGGUAAGCUAAUGAGUGUCUUCUGUCGGAACCUAAGUUUUGAAAAAUGAAACUGCAAGUGGAUAAUAUCGUUAACUAUUACAUUUGAUGCAGGUUUGUUGAUCCAUUGAUAAAUGGACAUUACCCACAGAUAAUGCAAGAUCUUGUGAAAGAGAGGCUGCCAAGGUUUACUCCUGAGCAAGCUAAAUUGGUCAAGGGCUCAGCAGACUAUAUUGGGAUCAAUCAAUACACAGCCAGCUACAUUAAGGGCCAGAAAUUGCUCCAGCAGACACCUACUAGCUACUCAGCUGAUUGGCAAGUUCAAUAUGUUUGUGAGUUUCUCGCCUUAAACAAGUUUUAUUUAAAUGUGUUUAUUUUAGAUAUUUUCACCUAAUUAACCUUCACCCUACAAAUUCUGCAGUAGCACGAAAUGGCAAGCUAAUUGGACCACAGGUGUGCAGCUCUUCCUUCACUCUUUCUCAGCGUUGUUUACUUAACUUGCAGUAGCUAGUAUGAUAUUGUCGCCAACAAAUUUAAUAAUAGUGUAGCAAAUUCUUACUAACCAUUGUAUGGAUAUGUAGGCGAAUUCUAAUUGGCUUUACAUCGUCCCGUCGGGAAUGUACGGAUGUGUGAACUAUCUCAAGGAGAAGUACGGAAACCCAACUGUCUACAUAACCGAGAAUGGUACUCAAUAAAAUCCUAUGCUUCUCUACUCCACAUUUCACAUGAAUAUGUUGCAUACCAAGGGUGAAGGGAUCCAUAUAUCGAACUUUUUUUCUUGUUCACAGGAAUGGAUCAACCUGGAAACCUGACCCGCGACCAGUACCUGCGCGAUGUGACAAGGGUGCGGUUCUACAAAAGCUACCUCGACCAGCUGAAAAAAGCCAUAGAUCAGGGCGCAAACGUGGCUGGCUACUUCGCCUGGUCUCUCCUUGACAACUUCGAGUGGCUAUCAGGAUACUCUUCCAAGUUUGGCAUUGUCUACGUCGAUUUCAACAACAAGCUCGAACGGCACCCGAAGGCUUCAGCCUA